rnacentral:rRNA from 1 species
AUUAGGCAAAUCCGGUACUCAUUAAGGCUGAGCUGUGAUGGGGAGAAGACAUUGUGUCUUCGAGUCGUUGAUUUCACACUGCCGAGAAAAGCCUCUAGAUAGAAAAUAGGUGCCCGUACCGCAAACCGACACAGGUAGUCAAGAUGAGAAUUCUAAGGUGAGCGAGCGAACUCUCGUUAAGGAACUCGGCAAAAUGACCCCGUAACUUCGGGAGAAGGGGUGCUCUUUAGGGUUAACGCCCAGAAGAGCCGCAGUGAAUAGGCCCAAGCGACUGUUUAUCAAAAACACAGGUCUCUGCUAAACCGUAAGGUGAUGUAUAGGGGCUGACGCCUGCCCGGUGCUGGAAGGUUAAGAGGAGUGGUUAGCUUCUGCGAAGCUACGAAUCGAAGCCCCAGUAAACGGCGGCCGUAACUAUAACGGUCCUAAGGUAGCGAAAUUCCUUGUCGGGUAAGUUCCGACCCGCACGAAAGGCGUAACGAUUUGGGCACUGUCUCAACGAGAGACUCGGUGAAAUCAUAGUACCUGUGAAGAUGCAGGUUACCCGCGACAGGACGGAAAGACCCCGUGGAGCUUUACUGUAGCCUGAUAUUGAAAUUCGGCACAGCUUGUACAGGAUAGGUAGGAGCCUUUGAAACGUGAGCGCUAGCUUACGUGGAGGCGCUGGUGGGAUACUACCCUAGCUGUGUUGGCUUUCUAACCCGCACCACUUAUCGUGGUGGGAGACAGUGUCAGGCGGGCAGUUUGACUGGGGCGGUCGCCUCCUAAAAGGUAACGGAGGCGCUCAAAGGUUCCCUCAGAAUGGUUGGAAAUCAUUCAUAGAGUGUAAAGGCAUAAGGGAGCUUGACUGCGAGACCUACAAGUCGAGCAGGGUCGAAAGACGGACUUAGUGAUCCGGUGGUUCCGCAUGGAAGGGCCAUCGCUCAACGGAUAAAAGCUACCCCGGGGAUAACAGGCUUAUCUCCCCCAAGAGUUCACAUCGACGGGGAGGUUUGGCACCUCGAUGUCGGCUCAUCGCAUCCUGGGGCUGUAGUCGGUCCCAAGGGUUGGGCUGUUCGCCCAUUAAAGCGGUACGCGAGCUGGGUUCAGAACGUCGUGAGACAGUUCGGUCCCUAUCCGUCGUGGGCGUAGGAAAUUUGAGAGGAGCUGUCCUUAGUACGAGAGGACCGGGAUGGACAUACCUCUGGUGUACCAGUUGUCGUGCCAACGGCAUAGCUGGGUAGCUAUGUGUGGACGGGAUAAGUGCUGAAAGCAUCUAAGCAUGAAGCCCCCCUCAAGAUGAGAUUUCCCAACUUCGGUUAUAAGAUCCCUCAAAGAUGAUGAGGUUAAUAGGUUCGAGGUGGAAGCAUGGUGACAUGUGGAGCUGACGAAUACUAAUCGAUCGAAGACUUAAUC